GAUGUAUAGGGGGUGACACCUGACCAAUGCCAGAAGGUCAACUAAGGUUGGUGCAUGGUAGCAAUACUGUGUGCUGGACUUUAUAAGCCCUGGUCAAUGUCGGCGAUAACUAUAAUCGUCCUAAGGUAGCGUAAUUCCUUGUCUGGUAAGUUCAGACGUGCACGAAUGGUGUAACGAGUUGGAAACUGUCUCGAGGACUUGCUCGGUGAAAAUACAAUACCGGUGAAGAUGCCGGUUACUCAUAGUUAGACGAAAAGACCCCAGAAGCUUUACUGUAGCUUCGUAUUGGGAUUGCGAUGCAUAUGCGUAGCAUAGACGGGAGAGGUUGAAGCGCUGAUUUUGGUUGGCGUGGACUCAACAGUGAAAUACCGUUCUUAUGUGUUGCAAUUUCUAACCUCAGGCAAAACACCUGGGAGACAGUGCGUGGCAGGCAGUUUGAGUGGGGCGCUCUCCUCCCAAAAAGUAACGGAGGAGCCUACAAAGGUCAGCUAGGCGCGAAUGGAAACCGUGCCGGUCGUGUAAUGGCACAAGCUGGCUUAACUGCGAGACGUACAUGUCGAGCAGACACGAAAGUGGAGCAUAGUGAUCCGACCUUAUGCAUUAGAUGCAGGGGAAGCCCAACGGAUAAAAGUUACUCUGGGGAUAACAGGCUAGUUCCGCCUAAGCGUCCAUAGCGACGGCGGAGUUCGGCACCUCGAUGUCGGCUCACCACAUCCCGGAGCUGGAGAAGGUUCCAAGGGUUUGGCUGUUCGCCAAUUAAAGUGGUACGCGAGCUGGGUUCAGACCGUUCAGUUGCUGAAAAUUUUUCGGCGCUUGGACAGUCUGAACCCGAUCGAGAAAAUGAAAGUUAUCCGAAAUAUAUAAAAGGUUUUUCGUCAGAAAAAAGAGUAAAGAGUCAACCAAUCACGGCGGUCUUGCAUGGGAACAUGCAAGAAGAAAUCAACUUAUAUCGGUGAAGCCCAAUUCACAUUCGUGUGAAGGGUAAUACCGAGGGAAUAGACGCAGAAAGUAGUUGUCAGUACGCAGUUAGCAGAAAAUUCAUUCUGCAUACUGCAAUCUGUACACUGCCCACUUCUUCUUGCCCCUAGAGACUGAAUGUUGAACAUCCAGAACGGAUGAAGUUACAGUCCAAUGCACGAAGGUAAUUCGUGAAAACAUGCGUGAGACAGGUUGGUCUCCUAUCUACUAUGAGCGUUGAUACUUGAGGAGAGUCGUCCUUAGUACGAGAGGACCGGGAUGAACUGACCUCUGGUCUAUCUGUUGUUCCGCCAGGAGCAUUGCAGAGUAGCUAUGUCGGGAAGGGAUAACCGCUGAAAGCAUCUAAGCGGGAAGCCUCCUCCAAGAUUAGGUAUCGUUAAGGCCCGUGAGAGAUGAUCACGUUGAUAGGCUUUAGGUGUACAUGCAGUAAUGCAUUGAGCCAAGAAGUACUAAUUCGCCGAUUCUGCGGGGAA
rnacentral:rRNA from 1 species